rnacentral:rRNA from 1 species
UACGUAGGGUGCAAGCGUUGUCCGGAAUUAUUGGGCGUAAAGAGCUCGUAGGCGGUUUGUCGCGUCUGCUGUGAAAACUCGAGGCUCAACCUCGGGCUUGCAGUGGGUACGGGGCAGACUAGAGUGCGGUAGGGGUGACUGGAAUUCCUGGUGUAGCGGUGAAAUGCGCAGAUAUCAGGAGGAACACCGGUGGGCGAAAGG